rnacentral:rRNA from 1 species
GAUGAACGCUGGCGGCGUGCCUAAUACAUGCAAGUCGAACGGAAGGUAGCAAUACCUUUAGUGGCGAACGGGUGAGUAACGCGUUGGUGACCUGCCCCGAAGCGUGGGAUAACAGUCCGAAAGGAUUGCUAAUACCGCAUGUGGUCCAAGAGACUAGAGGCUUAUGGACUAAAGGAGACAUUCACUUCGGGAGGGGCCUGCGUCCCAUCAGCUAGUUGGUAGGGUAACGGCCUACCAAGGCGAUGACGGGUAGGGGACCUGAGAGGGUGGCCCCCCACAAUGGAACUGAAACACGGUCCAUACACCUACGGGUGGCAGCAGUAGGGAAUAUUGCAAAAUGGGCGCAAGCCCGAUGCAGCAACGCCGCGUGGGCGAUGAAGGCCUUCGGGUCGUAAAGACCUUUUCGUAGGGAGUGAGGAAGGACAGUACCCUCAGAAUAAAGCCUCGGCUAACUACGUG